GGAGGGCGCAAGCGUUGUUCGGAAUCAUUGGGCGUAAAGCGCGUGUAGGCGGCUUGGCAAGUCGGGUGUGAAAGCCCGGGGCUCAACCCCGGAAUUGCACUCGAUACUGCCUCGCUAGAGUCCCGGAGAGGGUGGCGGAAUUCCCGGUGUAGAGGUGAAAUUCGUAGAUAUCGGGAGGAACACCAGCGGCGAAGGCGGCCACCUGGACGGUGACUGACGCUGAGACGCGAAAGCGUGGGGAGCAAACAGGAUUAGAUACCCUGGUAGUCCACGCCGUAAACGUUGGGUGCUAGGCGCUGCGGGUAUUGACCCCCUGCAGUGCCGACGUUAACGCAUUAAGCACCCCCGCCUGGGGGAGUACGGUCGCAAGAUUAA
rnacentral:rRNA from 1 species